UGGGGAAUAUUGGGCAAUGGGGGAAACCCUGACCCAGCAACGCCGCGUGAGGGAAGAAGGUUUUCGGAUUGUAAACCUCUGUCCUCAGGGACGAAUACAUGACGGUACCUGAGGAGGAAGCUCCGGCUAACUACGUGCCAGCAGCCGCGGUAAUACGUAGGGAGCAAGCGUUGUCCGGAAUUACUGGGCGUAAAGGGUGCGUAGGCGGUUGAUUAAGUCAGAUGUGAAAUCCCCGUGCUUAACAUGGGUGUUGCAUCUGAAACUGGUUAACUUGAGUGCAGGAGAGGAAAGCGGAAUUCCUAGUGUAGCGGUGAAAUGCGUAGAUAUUAGGAGGAACACCAGUGGCGAAGGCGGCUUUCUGGACUGUAACUGACGCUGAGGCACGAAAGCGUGGGGAGCAAACAGG
rnacentral:rRNA from 1 species